GGCGGACAGGUAUCCGGUAAGCGGCAGGGUCGGAACAGGAGAGCGCACGAGGGAGCUUCCAGGGGGAAACGCCUGGUAUCUUUAUAGUCCUGUCGGGUUUCGCCACCUCUGACUUGAGCGUCGAUUUUUGUGAUGCUCGUCAGGGGGGCGGAGCCUAUGGAAAAACGCCAGCAACGCGGCCUUUUUACGGUUCCUGGCCUUUUGCUGGCCUUUUGCUCACAUGUUCUUUCCUGCGUUAUCCCCUGAUUCUGUGGAUAACCGUAUUACCGCCUUUGAGUGAGCUGAUACCGCUCGCCGCAGCCGAACGACCGAGCGCAGCGAGUCAGUGAGCGAGGAAGCGGAAGAGCGCCCAAUACGCAAACCGCCUCUCCCCGCGCGUUGGCCGAUUCAUUAAUGCAGCUGGCACGACAGGUUUCCCGACUGGAAAGCGGGCAGUGAGCGCAACGCAAUUAAUGUGAGUUAGCUCACUCAUUAGGCACCCCAGGCUUUACACUUUAUGCUUCCGGCUCGUAUGUUGUGUGGAAUUGUGAGCGGAUAACAAUUUCACACAGGAAACAGCUAUGACCAUGAUUACGAAUUCGAGCUCGGUACCCGGGGAUCCUCUAGAGUCGACCUGCAGGCAUGCAAGCUGGCACUGCCGUCGUUCCC
rnacentral:rRNA from 1 species